CAGCUCGAGUUUCUCUUCAUUGUCGCAUAAAUCUUUCGCCUUUUACUAAGAUUUCCGUGGAGGGGAGCUUUUGCGAGUGACCUGUAUUUUUUUGGGGGCUCUGCUCACAGCAGAGCU
ensembl:snRNA U5 U5 spliceosomal RNA